rnacentral:rRNA from 1 species
UACAGAGGGUGCGAGCGUUAAUCGGAAUUACUGGGCGUAAAGCGCGCGUAGGCGGCUUUGCAAGUCGAGUGUGAAAUCCCCAGGCUUAACCUGGGAACUACAUUCGAGACUGCAUGGCUAGAGUAUGGGAGAGGGAAGUGGAAUUUCAGGUGUAGCGGUGAAAUGCGUAGAUAUCUGAAGGAACAUCAGUGGCGAAAGCGACUUCCUGGACCAAUACUGACGCUCAUGUGCGAAAGCGUGGGGAGCAAACAGG